AACGAAAAUAACCUGACACCCCCACUAC
rnacentral:sRNA from 1 species